GGUUACUCUGUAUUGUUUUGGAGGCUGUCCUGGAACUCACUCUGUAGACCAGGCUGGCUUCGAACUCACAGAGAUUCACCUGCCUCUGCCUCCCGAGUGCUGGGACUAAAGGCGUGCGCCACCAACACCCG
rnacentral:miRNA from 1 species